rnacentral:snRNA from 1 species
AUAACCGCAUCAGGUCUC